rnacentral:piRNA from 1 species
UGAGACAGGAAUCUGUUUAUGUUGUAGC